CAAGUUAGAUUACAGUUAAACGCUCGGUCGACGUCAUUGUCAAUCGUCAUUGUUUGUUGAACUUUAAGAGAGACAGUCAAACUGCUCAACUAGGAAGGUCGUUUAAGGGGAACUGCUCAACUAGGGGCACGCGGCUCAGUUAACGUUCUUUGGUGGUAUAAAUGCCAAUCUAAACGUCUUUUAGUGGUUGAGCAAUUAGGCAACCUUUUUUGUGGUCUUUUAAACAAUUCAGCAACGUUUUUCGUGACUAGCCUACUAAAUCGGUAAAUUAGUGAAAGAAUGUUCACUCCGGUCUAACAUUCCUUAACUGAACCGUUUUUUUAUUGUUUAUGUGGGGAUCUAGAUUUUUUGUUUUCGUUAGUCUGGGAAGGGGCACUUUGUGACUGCGGAAUAGGUGAUGCGCAGCGGCGGAGCGACGACGGUAGGCGGCGGCGAUACGAGGCCCGGCCCUCCUCCUCCUCGGGUCGACCAAGCGCGCGAAGGUGCUCCUGGACGGCCGCGGCGUGCUCGAGUAAGACGAGAGCGUGACCGAGUAGUGGGCGCUAGAGGGGCGGCGGGAGUUGUAGGGGUGCGUUCCCCGGCCGGGCGAGUCGCUAGAACCGCUUUCCUUUAUCGUUCACUCCACAGCGGCCCCUUGCGUAGCUACUCCCUGCAGCCAAAGGGAAGCGGCGACCCCUUGUGCAGCUACUUACUGCCGCCGCCUCCGCCCCCAUCGCGCUCCUGCAGCUCCAGUAGCCUGACGUCCGCCCUCCUCAACUCCUCCUUGGACCUACUGCAGCGGCCCGAAUGGUUGGAGAAGAGACUUCAGGGUCGUCGUCGUAACUAAUUACUCAACCACCAAAAGAUGGUUGGAUCGGCGUUUACACUACCAAAGAAUGGUAACUGGGGGCACGCCGUCCGGAGGAGGUGUAUGUUUGCCUGCGGCGCGGGGGCGGCAGAGAGGUACCGCGGCGGGGACGAGGAGGGAAAGGGGCGGGAACUGGCUGCGAGUGGCUCGAGGGGUGUCGGGGGUACCGCGGCGGCGAAGGACGACCUAGAGGAUUUGUCAGCGCCCGACCCGCCGCCGCGGUGGGGGCCUAGACCUUGCCCGACCCGCCACACUUGUCCUCGUCGCUGCCGGCAGCGACGGAGAUCAGCCAACCGGCCCCCGCGCUGCAGGAGGCCAUCAACUGGUCGCGCCCCUUCAACCGCCAACCACCGCCUGCAACGGCCGCUAAACUUGAUGCGCUAUCGAAUAGUCGACCUGGUCCAUGAGUAAUAUGUAUGAGGAUAAUCUUUUCCCUCCUUCCACCUUGCUUCGUCUUUAUCGUAGUCGAGGUACAGCAGUAAUACACACGCAUGUACCUUUGCUACUCUCUUUAGAGGUUGUACACGCCGGAUGGAAUGAUGUAGUACAGCAGUGAUACACACUUCUGGGUGGCGAACAGGCGUCAUUCGUACAAGCAACCAAGUCUGAGCUAGGCGGACGUAUACGUUACAACAGUACCACCGUUGUCCUACACUACCAACAGUUCGUUGUGCAGUUGGAAUUAAUCGUUCGGCGGAUCGGUCGUACUCCUGACUGUAGAAAAGGGGUACCUCACAGAGGCGGACUGCAGGCAAAGCCCGCGGCGUACGCCGUCCGACGUCCGCCGCCGCCGCCGGCAGCGAGAGUCCUGUCGCCGGUUGAGACUGCUCGAGGAGCGGGCGGAUGAGGUAGUACCGUCUUUGGACCACAACCUGUUGUGACUGUAAGUCGUUGGUCUACUACGACGACGACUUCGAGUGAAGAAGGAAGGGUUACGGUUAAACUUUCUUGGACGACUCUUUUACCAGUUACAGGUGUCUGGAGAAAGACUAGAAGUGGUACUUUACCUGCUAAAGAUAGGUCAAACAAGACACUACGGGUCGGUCUCAUAAUGACUGUUCUUAGUGUUACAGUAUCAAUGAGACCUAGUGAGAGUCGUUAGUUUACGAUUAGGGAGGCCAUUUUUUACACACUAUUAAUGCUCGUCUGCAAAGUGAAGGGGACAAAGACGACGACUGUGUUGACGUCUUCGAGGUGAAAGGUUACUAAGAGGUCUACACGUCUAAAGACUACUUUCCUUCAAGCUGCACUCAACGGCAGUUAACACAUUUUUACAGCUACUACUAAGAUUAUCGUAAUAGUCAAGACGUUUCAGAGUACUGUUAGCGAGAAGGCUAAUAUGGGGGCGUAGGUUUCAAGUCAUACAUUAGUUCCAAUCGUGAUCAAGAAGAUCUUCUUUCUUUUGUGGAGUACUAGGCUCCUCUCAAGAAGAGAGUAGGUCAGGAAGACAGGGACUUUGUUUAGCUAAAGGUCAGAGACGAGAACUCUCCUCUAUAAUACGCCACAAAACGUCUGAACGUGCCUCACUUUCUAUAGUCACGUACUGACGGUAAUAUAUAGCGUUCCAGGCGACGAGGAUGGAGAGAGAACCAGUCAGUAACUACGGUCCCCCAGUACAGUUAUUGAAAGACUAAAGACAAAAGACGGCCUUUAACAAACUACUAACGGUAGGUAGUCAAAGAUUUUUUGUAAUGAAGAAGAGAAUAUAACCCCUUUUGUAAGAUUUUAUGUUAUUAUUUCUAGUCAAAUUUGAGUAUCUUUUAUGAAAAUUUCCACGUUCAGAUCAUUUCUUUUAACUACGUACACUUGACGAUAAGAAAGGAUAUACGGUAACAUUCGUGACCAAAAAUAAACAACAGCUGGACGUUUUGGCAGUUAAACAUAAAUACCUAAGGAACAAGGUAUUCUUCAGAGCAAUAGUUCAACACCAGUCGCUCUACGAACAACCAUUAAAGGUUGUAAACACCUUCCUCUAUCAACUAGGUCUCAUAUAGAAGCUAUUAAAGUCUUAACAGAUAGGACUAUACGGUUCUGUUCCUUUGCCCUUACUAACGCCACAGAAACACUACUUUACAUACCUUUAGACCUGAGGAUCUCAACAAGAAGUACUAAUAAAGAGUUCUCAGUUGUAAGGUUUAUAUGCCUAUGUUAUACGCUUAGUCGACAAGAAGUCAAGAUUCUUACGGCGACUAUUCAGAGACCAUUGUGUAAAGGAAGCUCUCCCGUUUAAAGUAGCACAGUCUUUCUCACAUUGAAGUCUCAGGUUGCGCAUAGCCAUUGGUCCUGUCUCCUCUUUAUCUAUAACAAAGUAUCUGCUUACACAGAGUCAUUUGUCCUGUAUCCUCUUUAUCUAUGACAUGAUCCUGGUACGGGCGAACAACGGCGUCUUUUAACACUAAUGCAAAAGUAACUACCAAAAUCGGUUUAAUCAACAUACAGUAGAUAACAAUACCACGUCAUUUGUAACCGCUCUUUGUUUCUUACUGUACGUGGAUCUAGCUUCUAAC
rnacentral:rRNA from 1 species